UUUCGAAUUUUAUUUUUAAAAAUAAAAACCGUUGGAAGAUUCUGAAAGUCAGAUGUCAGUAGCCUAGCUUCGUUGAAGAAGGAUUCGUCAUCACAUCAUUGAUCUCUCGACCUAAACGAUCUUGCUAUGAGCACCAAGCCAAAGAGCCACAAAGGUAUGGGGGAUGGGGAGUGGAUGGCAAGGCUUAAGGCAUUUGCCAGCACUGGGGUUUGGCCUUCCAAUGCAGGGAAUAGACCAGCCCCAAGGCAGAAGAAAUGGCAUGAUAUCUAUCAGAAGAUAGAAAAAUGCCCCAUGCAAGUUCGGGGACAGACCACCCUUUUUGGAGCGUCUGUCACUUGUGACUGUGGCUUUCACACUGUUAAAGUAAGCUGGUUUAAAAUA